UACGUAGGGGGCAAGCGUUGUCCGGAAUCAUUGGGCGUAAAGAGCGUGUAGGCGGCUUGGUAAGUCCGCUGUGAAAGUCCAGGGCUCAACCCUGGAAAGCCGGUGGAAACUGUCAAGCUCGAGUCCGGAAGAGGCGAGUGGAAUUCCUGGUGUAGCGGUGAAAUGCGCAGAUAUCAGGAGGAACACCGAUGGCGAAGGCAGGUCUCUGGGCAUUAACUGACGCUGAGGAGCGAAAGCAUGGGGAGCGAACAGG
rnacentral:rRNA from 1 species